UACGUAGGGGGCUAGCGUUGUCCGGAAUCAUUGGGCGUAAAGCGCGCGUAGGCGGUCAGGUAAGUCCGGUGUGAAAGUCAAAGGCUCAACCUUUGAAUGCCGCUGGAUACUGCCUGACUUGAGUCCGGAAGGGGCGAGUGGAAUUCCUGGUGUAGCGGUGAAAUGCGCAGAUAUCAGGAGGAACACCAAUGGCGAAGGCAGCUCGCUGGGACGUUACUGACGCUGAGACGCGAAAGCGUGGGGAGCAAACAGG
rnacentral:rRNA from 1 species